rnacentral:rRNA from 1 species
CAACGAAUAUUCCGCAAUGGGCGCAAGCCUGACGGAGCGACGCCGCGUGGGGGAUGAAGUCCUUCGGGAUGUAAACUCUAAUAGUAUGUUAGGAAGCAAGUCGACCUAACACGUCGGCAAGUUGACCGACAUACGAAAGGGGCGGCUAACUCCGUGCCAGCAGCCGCGGUAAGACGGAGGCCCCGAGCGUUGUUCGGAAUCACUGGGCUUAAAGCGCGUGUAGGCGGGACGGUAAGUACCUUGUGAAAUCCCCGGCUUCAACCCGGGAACUGCUCGGUAUACUGCCGUUCUUGAGGCAGGUAGGGGUCACUGGAACCUUAGGUGGAGCGGUGAAAUGCGUAGAUAUCUAAGGGAACGCCUGUGGCGAAAGCGGGUGACUGGGCCUGUCCUGACGCUGAGACGCGAAAGCGUAGGGAGCAAACGGG